CCGUCUCCAAUAAGAACUGAAUCUGCACCCUAGUAGUUUCGAAUAUUAGUUAAAAUACCUAACUUACCUAUCAUGUGGUUUGAGGCUUCUGUGUCUGUGGUCCAUUCAGUUUCAGUAAUGGUGUUAUCCAAGGUUAGUGCUACCAGUGCUUGUGGCAUGUCCUCAUGUUGUGUUGGUUUUUUAGGCACUUACCAACAGAUUUUUGCAAUGUAUCCCAACAUGUAACAAUAUUGGCACUUUUCUUCAUGAUAGAGGUUUCAUUCUGCUGGUCUUAUACAUUUUUCACCAGGUGCCGGAGGGAGUCCUUGUUGAGUGCUCGAUGUGGUGUUGGAGUAACUAUGGUUUUCGUCUUUGGGUGGUUGUGCCUGAAAUCCUCUUCUGAUUGAAAUAAAUUUUUGUUUGUUGCCUUUAUAUCCUAAGGAGGAUUGUUGAAAUUGCCAUUGUUAUUGUCCGUAGAACGCCUUUUGAGGAGAGAGUGAGUUGGUGGCAAUUGCAUAUUUGAGAACCAGUUGCGUCGUUGAUCAAGGCUUAAAAGUUGUAAGACGAGCUUAGAGUAUGAUAGUCUUGGUGGUUUGAGCAUAGUAGUGGGGAAAGAUUCAUGUUGAGGACCAAGACAAGUGAGAAAACAAAACACCUUAUCUUUGUCUAGGACUGGUUUUCCAAUUGC
rnacentral:lncRNA from 1 species